rnacentral:lncRNA from 1 species
AUGCCAAAAGUUAUUGCUGCUUCAAGCAGCAUUAAGUCCUGCUUGAUUCCCAGCAGGAACUGUGUAUAUUUAGUGAGUGGCUUCAACUUUGGCACUGAAAACGUGGAUAUUCCACCACCUUACCAGGACCUAAAUCCCAUCCACUACUGUAGUAGUGAUUUCAGACACUGGCUUGGACUAAACCUUUUCCCACAAUUUUCAAAUUCAGUUCUCAACAGCAAAAGGAUGAGAAGUUCAGAAAUAACAUGGGAACGGGUGGCCACUGAGAUCAGUUGUUGCUGAGUAAGAACUGGAUGCAUCUCCUGCUCCUGCAUCAGGACCGCUGACAUGAACAAGUGGGAGGAAGAUCAAGCUCUGGCAAGGACUGGCUCAGGAGCUGCUUCGUUCUCCUUUCACACGGAUGGGAGUGUCACAGCGCGUUUUCCUGUCUAAUCAGUCUCAGCACAGCCUUGCACAACUCAGUCUGCUUUAAGCUUUUAACCAGGGUGUAGGAGUUCAGAAAAAAAAACCACCUCCCUUCCCCCAAGAAAAAUGUAAUUGCGAAGAUUUGUUUUGAUGUAGCAUGUACAGUGAACUUGAAUCGCUGAAAGGGAACCACACAUUUGUGCGAGUAUUUUUUCUUUCCCUCAUUUUCAUUCCUAGUUAGUUAUUCAUUUUAUUUACCUCCUAGAGAAAAUGCACUAGAGGCUGGAUCUGACUUCCAGUGAGGCUCGUGGUGGAGCUGCCAGGGCCAUAAUCCCUGGCUCCUCUCUGGUGACCCAGCUGGAGCUCUCCCAGUAUAUACCAGCAGACAAGCUGGUCCCCAUCAUCAUUAAUGCAGACAGUGACUCAUCUGGUAGGCCAAAGCAAAUGUUAAUGCUUAGUAGUUAUAUCAAAAUAGUGCAUGGUGAUAGAUUCCACUCUCAUAAUUGUGUUACUAAUUACAAGUGCUACUUACUCUUUGUAAGAUUCAUUUGUUUCAGUACUCUGAGAGAAAUCAUGAGGUUAGUGAAUUUAAGGCUUCAUACAAAAGCCUUGAUGUUACAACAUGAUCUGCACCAAAAGCAGUGCAUAUAUGUGCAAUUGUGCAAAGUGUAAAGAUCAUGGUGCUUGUAAGCUCUCUAGACCUCUGGUGAUGCCUACACAGAAAUUUCAAUUUUUUUCUUCCAUUAAUAAGCUCAGAAUAUGGAUCUUGGUUAUUUUUAUUACCAGUACAGAGGAUGCUGAGAUGUGGAGGACAAAUGGCAGAGUAGACUAAAAUUCAAAUUAAGCUAUAAAUGAGCAUAGUAAAUAGCAGGGUGAGAACGGAAUAUCAAGGGACAAAGCCAAUAAAAUAUUGUUCCUUUUAGAAGAGAUGAUCAAAUAAAAUUAACUAAUAUUUAACAAUCUCAUACUCACUGUAGAGUAAUUUAUUGUGACAGCAAUAAGAAAAUUACUAAUGAAUAGCUACAGAAAUGUACAGAUUGGGGCAAUUAAUAUAGAUCUAAACCAAUGCCAACAAUGAAAAUGGGAAUUCCUUGACAGGACAAAAAGACAGUUUGGGAAUUGAGGCUGUUCCACCUGGAGAAGGGAAGGCUCUGAGGACAGUUUGGGAAUUGAGGCUGUUCCACCUGGAGAAGGGAAGACUCUGAGGACACCUUAGAACACCUUCCAGUACCUAAAGGGGGCCUGCAAGAAAGUUGAAGAGGGACUUUUCACAAGGGUGUG